UCAUUGCAUGUAUGUUUCCGUCUCAAGUGUUUAAUAUGGGGUCCAAUAUCUCAUUUAUUUCUUUUCCGCUUGUUUCAAGACUUGUUUAACCAACCAACGUGUUUAAUCAACCAAUCAACGUGUUUAUCCAACCAACCAAUCAAUCAAUCAACCAAUCAAUCAAUCAGUGCAUGUUUCCGUCUCAUGUGUUUAAUAUGGGGUCUAAGAUCUCAUUUGUUUCUUUCUCGCUUGUUUCAAGAAACCCUAUCUAACGUGUUUCACCAACCAACCAACCAUCGUGUUU
rnacentral:lncRNA from 1 species